CUUCCUACAUCAUAAUCUUGGGAUUUAAUACAUGUUUUUCAUUCUGGUUAUUAUUAAUAUCAGAUUUAUCUAACUAUGCGUGAACCCAGCCACAGCCUUAGGGAAAGAGAUGUAUCUUUCAGCGCUGAAGAGAAUAAAAAUGAAUAAUCCUCAGAGACUUUGAAACUGAAGUGGGCAGGGAAGGGUGGAAAGAACAGAUCUCAUUCUAUGAAGAGCAUGGAGGGAUAUUCUCAGAGCAUGUAGUGCUGAGUAGAGCGGACCAGGCACCCGGGGACACCCAGAGAGCAGCCUUUCCUCAACAGAAGAGGAAGUCACCCAGGUGGGCACUGACAUCCAGGAUGAAAACUUCCCAGCAUCCCUUGCAGCAAGCAGUGGCCACGUGACCAGGCAGUGACCAAUGCACAUGAGGCCAGUGCACAGCAACUGCCAUUAGAGGACGGAAGAUUUGUGUCCUCUUGUUCUCUUCUCCCCUCCCUGCUGGCUGGCAGUAGAUAGGAUGGACACUGUCGGGGAAGCUACACCUUAAGGAAGUCAGAGCAGCAAGAUGGAAGUAGCCUAAGACCCUGAAAAAUGCACAGAGAAGAAUCACCUGACUGGCUUGAACUUUCAUGUGAAAGGAAUGAACCUCUGUCUUAGUAAAGCCACUGUGAUUCAGGGUCCUUGUCACAUUCACUGAGGCUGUAACAUAAUUGUUGAAAGAACAGGAGUGGGAGGGGAGAUGGAGUCGGAGAGGCAGGCAGAGGUCAGAUCACAUUGGGCCUGUAGGCCAGGGCGGAGGAAGAAACAGGCAACAUAGGACUCAAGGACCACACCUGCUCCCAGGCAAAGGGAGUUUGCUAGACAUUGCAUUAAAUAGCAAGAUGGCAGAUGAACAUCAGGAAGGAACAUUAGGGACAUCCACAGUGUUCCAUCCAGGAACCUUCACCGUGGAAACCCUUGUGCUCAUGGGCGUGGUCUCAAGACACAGUCAGCUGUUGGGGAUCAGAGGCCACACUCAUCGUAGCAGAGAGGCAGGACCAACUGGGAGAGGGUCCUUCUGUGACAUCUACUGCAUCACCGGGCUGUGUGAAGUGACUCAGCUGCCAGAACUCACACAAUAUCAUUCUACACCAAAACCUCACGGGAAAAAUGUUUGGCUCCAUGUUUAGCUCCACGACCCUCAGGCUUAAACAGCAGUACUGGCCCCUCCCCAGAUCUCCAGCUCCCUGAUCCUCAAACUCCAACUGCAGCACCAGCUCCGCCCCGGGUCUCCAGCUCCACAAUCCUCAAACUACAACAGCAGCACCAGCUCCCCUGGGGAUCUCCAGCUCAAUGACUCUCAGACUUGGGAGGCGGCACCGGCUCCCCACCAAGCCUCCAGCUCCACAACCUUCAAACUAGAAAGCAGCACCGGCUACCCCCUGGGUCUCCAGUUCCCUCAAACUUCAACUAUAGCACUGGCUCUUCCCCGAGCCACCAGCUCCACAACCCUCAACUUACACGGUGGUAGCACCAGCUCCUCCCUAGGUCUCCAGCUACACGACCGUCAAACUUGAACUGCAACACCAGCUCCUCUUUGGCCUCCAGCUCCACAAUCCUCCAAUUAAAGUUUGAAUAUGGCACCUUAAUUCCUUAACAAAGAGAAAGAAUGCAUAUCUUGUGGUAAUGGG
rnacentral:lncRNA from 1 species